GGAGGGGCGCGCCAGGGAAGGAGUGGAGAAAAGUAGGCUAGGAGGAGCGUUGAAAAUAUCGUGACAAGUAGUUUCCGUGCGCCCGAGAGCGUGUGAAUUGCGCCUAAUUACCGUGUCCGAUCCUCUUGCUCGCAAGACGCGCAUUCGUCUGUCGGUCCUUCCGGGCCUGAAACAGUGUCACCACGAACUCCCAAGAGUAGUUUUAACUUUCACCUUCUCCCCAACUGCGUCACGGCCUUGAGGAACAGUUCGAUCUGCAGAGGAGAGUAAAGCAAAUUUGUUUAACUAAUGGAGGAAAGGAGUUUUCCGAAAAGUCGUUCUCUCUCCAUUCUCGACCGUGCGUUUCCGUGAUGUUCUUUAGAACCUUCAAGGCCCCGGGGUUUUGGCCAGCGCCGCCUGGGG